rnacentral:lncRNA from 1 species
AUUUGCUUUAAGAAUAUAAGGGUCAUUCCCUGCUUGGAUAAUCAAGGAAGGCAUGAUGGAAAAGUUAGUUAGGGGCAUCAUAAAACCCAAAGACAAUUGUUCUGAUCAUAUUUUUACUUCAACACAUCUACAGGAAAGAAAGCCUUCCCAUCACUAAUAGUGACUUCUCUGGCAGCAAACCUCAGUCAUUGCAGCAGGAAUACUGCUUAAAUAUUAUACUGGUAUGUGUGGGGUAAUUUGAAGUCUACCAUCCAUCACCACCAAACCUAAUGUAUGAGUUGCCUAUUCCUUCCCGGGAUAGCACAUUGCACUACUGAGGAUCACUGUUCUAUGGGAAACAUUUGCAAAAACAUUACAUCGGAGCCAUUGUUGACUAUCCCUAAUCUGUAAGAAGCCAAUAGUCAUCAAGACCCAAUGGAGCAAUGCAGCAGAAUCGGGGAAGCCCAGGGGGCAGAGUGAGGGCAUCACCAGGUGAGGAAAAGCAAGAUGGUAAGGCAGAAGGGAAUGGGGAAACCCAAACAAUGAAGAAAUACAGCCAAAAAAUAGUUAUUAUUUUCAUACAUCUUAGUAUUUUAUUUUCCUAAGGACUAUCCUCAUGAUUUGGCUUCUUAGGCCAUCUUAGCUUUAUUUUAAAUAUAAAGAAACUGGUGCUGAUUCUGCAUAUCAUAUGUAUUUGACUAUACUUCUAUAAAGCAGAAGUCAAGAGCCAUGAUUAUUGUGCAACAGUACCUGCACAAUUAGAAUAUUAGCAAUAGCGCAGUUUUACUUUUGUUUUACAGUUUUCAAACUAUAAAUCAAGUAUGAAUGGCUGAUGGAAAGCCGAGGCUAGCAAAUAGAUGAUAAACCAUGUUACCAUGGGAGAGGGCAGUGAUUGCAUUUGCAACCCAUUCUUGCCAAAGAGAAAUUUGGAAGCACACUUCAAGGAACUAAGUUCAGUGAUAAUCACACUUGAUUGAUUUUCAGUACUGUCACAGUUUGAGAACUAUUUGUUGCCCUGAUUUGCUCUUUUCUCUGCCCUGUAUUAAAGAUCUUGCAUGACA